ensembl:lncRNA
CCAGCCGGCUUGAAUUGCUUUCAGUUCCUCAAACUGCUCUGCUCAGUCUCCUAAUUCCCUCUGCCUUCUGAGGCACAGGGAGGAUAAGUCACUUGGUCACAGCAAGUUAGAACCACCUGGACUCAAGAGGAGACCUCCAGGCUGGAAGCUCUUACACUUCAUCCCUGUGACAGAAGAUCCUGUGAUGACAAAGCAGAACAGAAAGAAACUGGAAGAUGCUACGCUGCUCCCUUUGGAGAUGGAAGAGUCAUGAGCCAGGAGAUGCAGGAAAAGGCAAGGAAACAUUCUCCCCUGGAGCCUGUAAAAGGAACCAGCACCUUGACCCUCGCUCAGGGAAACAGGCUUUGGAUUUCUGGCCUCUAGAACUGAAAGAGAACACACUGGGGUUGAGCUAAGCCUCUGCAUUUAUGGUGGUUUGUUACAGCAGCCCCAGGAAACGAAUGCAACGACUGAACCAGCCCAUCCCCGACCAACGGCUCAAUAGCUGUGGUUCAGGACACCUGACACCUGGCGGGCACAUCUCCAAGCCCCGGCCCAUUGCAACCCAUCCCUGGGGACACCUGGAGCCGGGAGCACACAGAAGGGCUCGCCUGGUCUCAAGGAUCAGGGGAGACCCCCCUGAGCUUGAGCGCACUUCAGCGUAGGCUGGGAGGAGAGGGCAAGGAACGGUGCCCAACAAGGAGCAAGCGAGUACAGACGCCAGGAGGCAAGAGAAAGCUCAGUCAUCUGAGGAACUGAAAUGACUCAGUGUGGCCUGACUUUGAGGGAGAAACGGUAGAAGCCCUGUGAUGCGGUGGGUCGGAGGGUGGGCUCCGUGGGUGCUUGGGCGUGAGGCCGUGCCUUGCUGUGUCCCAAGUGUGUGAUUUGGGCAAGCAGCUUGACCUCUCUGAGCCCUAGUUUCCUCACCUGACUGAUGGUAUUUUAUGUAUCUGUUGUCUUUAUCUUCAUUUCUUUAAAAAUUUUUAUACUUUUUAUACCAAUUUUAAAGGCUACUUUCCAUUUAUAGUUACUACAAAAUGUUGGCUUUAUUCCCUGCAUUGUACAGUAUAUCCCUGAGCCUAUGUUACUGUCGAUCAUUUCUAUAACGUCCCCCACCCCCAACCUGAUGGUACUUUCCUCACAGGGUUCUGUGAGGUGUAAGUGUAUCUGCAACAGUCGGAACAGUGUCUGGCAGAGGAAGGAUCGGUAAGUCUGCCAUUGACGCCUACCCCUAUCAACAGCAAGGCGGCUGAUUUCUCUUUUAUUGGGAAAGAGCGCUGCGCGAAGGUUUUCUGGAUACUGAUGGUGAUGAUGAUGACAGCUACCGCUUCCUGAUCACCUGCUGUGUUCAGCCCUCAUUACCUACCCGAUUUUGUAAAUGUGAGCCUCAGUUUCCCUAUUUGUAAAAUGGGGCUGAUAAUAAUAGCAUCAAGCUCCAAGUGCUCUUGAGAAGAUUAAAAAACUAACCCCCAGGGCUUCCCUGGUGGUUUAGUGGUGAAGAAUCUGCCUGCCAAAGCAGGGGACACAGGUUUGAUUCCUGAUCCGGGAAGAUCCCACAUGCCGAGGAGCCACUACGCCCGUCAGCCACAACUACUGAGCCUGUGCUGCAGAGCAUGGGAGCUCCAACUACUGAGCCUGUGUGCAGCAGCCACUGAAACCCACACGCCCAGAGCCCGUGCUCUGCAACAAGAGAAACCACCACCCUGAGAGGCUACCGCAAAGAGAAAUCUGCGCGCUGCAACCAGAGAGGAACCCCCAGCUCUCCGCAGCUAGAGGAAAGCCCGUGCAGCAACAAAGACGGAACGCAGCACGCCGCCCCCCAAAAAAAAGGUGUGGACACUGGUGUAAAAUUACAACCGAGAAGACCCCCAGCCUAGGGGAAAGGUGCAUCUGGUGAGAAUGGAAAUUCACUUUGUAAGUCCUGGUUCUUCGUCUCUGUUCCCUUUGGAAAGUGGGCUUCUAAACCUGGAACUUUCAGACUUCACUGUUUGAUGUCUGUGACAAUAAUAGCAGUAUCAGCCCUCUCAGCUGACAUGUACAUACUAAGUGUUAUACGUGUAGUUUCUCAUUUGUCAGAAAGUCCUAGGAGGUACACUGUUAAUGUAAGUUACAGCUGAAGAAACAAAAUCAGGGUAGCUGCAGGUCCCUGCUGUUAAUCAUGAUUACUAUAUAGUCUUUC